GCAGGGGAUCGCAAGACCUUGCGCUGAUUGAGCGGCCGAUAUCAGAUUAGCUAGUUGGUGAGGUAAAGGCUCACCAAGGCGACGAUCUGUAGCGGGUCUGAGAGGAUGAUCCGCCACACUGGAACUGAGACACGGUCCAGACUCCUACGGGAGGCAGCAGUGGGGAAUUUUGGACAAUGGGGGCAACCCUGAUCCAGCCAUGCCGCGUGAGUGAAGAAGGCCUUCGGGUUGUAAAGCUCUUUCAGCCGGGAAGAAAACGCAUGGGUUAAUACCCUGUGUGGAUGACGGUACCGGAAUAAGAAGCACCGGCUAACUACGUGCCAGCAGCCGCGGUAAUACGUAGGGUGCGAGCGUUAAUCGGAAUUACUGGGCGUAAAGCGUGCGCAGGCGGUUUGUUAAGAUAGGCGUGAAAUCCCCGGGCUCAACCUGGGAACUGCGUUUAUGACUGGCAGGCUAGAGUAUGGCAGAGGGGGGUGGAAUUCCACGUGUAGCAGUGAAAUGCGUAGAGAUGUGGAGGAACACCGAUGGCGAAGGCAGCCCCCUGGGCCAAUACUGACGCUCAUGCACGAAAGCGUGGGUAGCAAACAGGAUUAGAUACCCUGGUAGUCCACGCCCUAAACGAUGUCAACUAGGUGUUGGGUGGGUAAAACCAUUUAGUACCGGAGCUAACGCGUGAAGUUGACCGCCUGGGGAGUACGGCCGCAAGGUUAAAACUCAAAGGAAUUGACGGGGACCCGCACAAGCGGUGGAUGAUGUGGAUUAAUUCGAUGCAACGCGAAAAACCUUACCUACCCUUGACAUGUCCAGAAGCUCUUAGAGAUUUGAGUGUGCCCGAAAGGGAACUGGAACACAGGUGCUGCAUGGCUGUCGUCAGCUCGUGUCGUGAGAUGUUGGGUUAAGUCCCGCAACGAGCGCAACCCUUGUCGUUAAUUGCCAUCAUUUAGUUGGGCACUUUAACGAGACUGCCGGUGACAAACCGGAGGAAGGUGGGGAUGACGUCAAGUCCUCAUGGCCCUUAUGGGUAGGGCUUCACACGUCAUACAAUGGUCGGUACAAAGGGUUGCCAACCCGCGAGGGGGAGCUAAUCCCAGAAAGCCGAUCGUAGUCCGGAUCGUAGGCUGCAACUCGCCUGCGUGAAGUCGGAAUCGCUAGUAAUCGUGGAUCAGCAUGUCACGGUGAAUACGUUCCCGGGUCUUGUACACACCGCCCGUCACACCAUGGGAGCGGGUUCCGCCAGAAGUAGGUAGCCUAACCGCAAGGAGGGCGCUUACCACGGCGGGGUUCGUGACUGGGGUGAAGUCGUAACAAGGUA
rnacentral:rRNA from 1 species